rnacentral:tRNA from 1 species
GCACUGAUGGUUCAGUGGUAGAAUUCUCACCUUCCAUGUGGGUGAUCCAGGUUCAAUUCCCAGCCAAUGCA